rnacentral:lncRNA from 1 species
UCAAAUGAUUCCCAGUGGAGGGAUGUUUUACAAAAUACCUGAUCAUUACUCCUCAAAACUGUCAAGGUCAAGAAAAACAUGGAAUGUCUGAAAAAUUUUCACAGCCAAGAGGAGUCCCAGAGGACAUGAACUAAAUGUAAUAUAGUAUCCUGGAUGGAAUAACCUGUACUGAAGAUUAGAGUUUCCAAAUUUAUUUGAUGGAAAGAAAACCAGUAUAUUUAUGGGAACAUCAAUUUUCAUUGCUUCACUCCCUCUUAAUUGAGGAAAAUUCCUGAGAUGACACAGUGAACCCUCUUUGUAUUCCAGCUGCAGGUCUAAGUCUGAGUCUCCUAAAGAGCCUGAACAGCUGAGGAAGCUCUUCAUUGGAGAGUUAAGCUUUGAAACAGCUGAUGAGAGCCUGAGGAGCCAUUUUGAGCAGUGGGGAAUGCUCAUGGACUGUGUGGUCAUGAGAGAUCCAAACACCAAGUGCUCCAGGGGCUUUGGGUUUGUCACAUAUGCCACUGUGGAGGAGGUAGAUGCAGCCAUGAACG